rnacentral:rRNA from 1 species
AUUGAACGCUGGCGGCAUGCCUUACACAUGCAAGUCGAACGGCAGCACGGGUGCUUGCACCUGGUGGCGAGUGGCGAACGGGUGAGUAAUACAUCGGAACAUGUCCUGUAGUGGGGGAUAGCCCGGCGAAAGCCGGAUUAAUACCGCAUACGAUCUACGGAUGAAAGCGGGGGACCUUCGUGCCUCGCGCUAUAGGGUUGGCCGAUGGCUGAUUAGCUAGUUGGUGGGGUAAAGGCCUACCAAGGCGACGAUCAGUAGCUGGUCUGAGAGGACGACCAGCCACACUGGGACUGAGACACGGCCCAGACUCCUACGGGACGCAGCAGUGGGGAAUUUUGGACAAUGGGCGAAAGCCUGAUCCAGCAAUGCCGCGUGUGUGAAGAAGGCCUUCUGGUUGUAAAGCACUUUUGUCCGGAAAGAAAUCCUUGGCCCUAAUACGGUCGGGGGAUGACGGUACCGGAAGAAUAAGCACCGGCUAACUACGUG